UUACACAUGAAAAUAAAAGUUGUGUUCUUCUAUACAUAUUGUUCAACAUGUGAUAACUUUAAUGACGGUUACAUAUAACAUGCAAAUAAUUCCAGUUUAGCGUUUGCAAGAUGUAAAAAAAAAAAAAAUCUCUUCAAUCCAUUUCUCCUUUUUCCAAUCUUGUGUAUGACCAAACCCAUUUUGAAAGUACGUUACUAAUGAAAUCCUUCACUGCUGGGAACCUUGCCCCCCCUGUGGCGCAUGAUCUUCUGCAACCGGUGCCGCUGGUGGUUCUCCCUCAUCAGCUGCUCAAUCUCUUUGAGCUCUGGCAGGUGCAGAAGCAGCUGCAGCAGCUCAGACAUCAGAAGCUCCUCCUGCAGUUCUAUCUGCUGCCGGCACUGCAGGUCUAACGGGAUGCCCCUCUUCUUAAACAGCAGGUACUGCUGGUUAUACUCCAGGAACCCCUGCUGAUACUCCUGCAGGCGCUGCAGCAACAGUUGUUGCUCGUGAUCCAGUUGCUUCUUCAUUCUUUUGAUUCCUAUUAUUGUUUGGAUAUUGAUAUUAAACUUUAAAUAACUCAAACAAUGUUUUUUCUUUUCUUUUCUUUUGUUUGUUUGUUUUUCUUUUUUUUCUUUUCUUCUUUUUUUUUUCUGAAGUUUUUGCCUAACAAAAUUGGUAAAAAACCAACAGAAGAUAUAACUCUUCGUUAGAAAGUCAAAAGAGAACACCUAUAUCCACAAGAACACCAGUCAUGGUUAAGAACUGUAGAAUUACUAUUCACACUUGGUAUCUUUUGUUUUAAAAACUGAAUUAUGGUACUUCUGAUUGAAAAAAGUGUUUAGUUGUCCUACAAAGUUUGCUAAACAUGCACUGAGUGGUACAAACGUGCCAAACGUAAGGACCAAGGUUUGGGUUCUAUAUUGCAUUGGUGAGAAGAUAAAGUUGGUUGAGACAUGUCUUCUCAAAGAUGAAUACGUGAGACCACGCAACCAACUCUCCCAUCAUGAUGAGUUCUUAAGUUGUACCGCAUGCAACAAGGUGCGUCACUUUAAACUUAGGACAAGGGAUGCAUGCAAGUUUUACCACUUUGCAACCAGCGGCGGAACUAGCCCACAAAUUUAGGGGUAUCCCAAUUUUUUAUUUUUUAGACCAGAAUUAUCCUUUGUAUAACGGAGACGAAGUUGCGGGGUAUUUUUACACUACGGAAACCGAGUUAAGGGGUAUUUUUACACUACGGAGACGGAGUUGAGGGGUAGCCCGUGUUACCCCUACUAACAUUGUAAGUCCGCCACUGUUUGCAGCUACAAGGGAAAACCGGACAUGCAAUGAUAUGAUAUUGAACAGGUGGUCAUGUGAAGACCUCGAGGAGAGGAGCUCAAGACCACGCAGUGGAUGCCACAAGAAUAGAAAGUGCGAAGGCUGCAGGCAUUAUGUGUGUUUUGGAUGCUAAAUGUGCAGGUUUGAGGACAUAUUGAAAAGAGAAAAUAGAUCAAAUACACAACAUAAGGGUUGAGUUCUAUACUGUCCUCGUACGUGAAUGGACGUGUUGGAUCCGUGCCAAACCUGAUCCGUAGGUAAAUAGCUUGAAUAGUUGUUAAGUUUUUCAUAUUUUCACAAAGUUUUCAAUGAUUUAACUCGAAUUUGAAUCUGAAACUUUCUAGGAUUGUUUAAAACUGAUUUUCACACAAGAUGUUUGAAAAUCAGACGUUUUUUACCGUGAAAACAUCAUGAGUCUGAGAUUUAAAGUUCAAAAGAAGUGUAGAAGAUGAGUAGAAGAAUAAAUGAUGAAAUCAACUGUGAUGAUGCUUGAAAUUGCUU
rnacentral:lncRNA from 1 species